AGACAUUAAUGAAUGCAAGGAAAAGCUUGCAUGCAACUGUCCUGAUUGCUACUGCAAGAACACCUGGGGAGGAUAUGACUGCAAAUGCAAGGGAAAUCUUUUGUACAUAAAGGCAGAGGACACCAUGCAUUGCCAAGAAUAUGUCGAGGUUUGGUUGGUUUUUGACUAUUUUGGUUCUCGCAUGUGUGGUUGGUGUGGAAUAGCAGGUUAUAUAUUCUACAAAUACUGGCUCAGGUCUUACAUGGAUUCUGAGAUCAUGGCUAUCAUGUCCCA